rnacentral:rRNA from 1 species
UACGGAGGGGGUUAGCGUUGUUCGGAAUUACUGGGCGUAAAGCGCGCGUAGGCGGAUUAGAAAGUUGGGGGUGAAAUCCCGGGGCUCAACCCCGGAACUGCCUCCAAAACUACUAGUCUAGAGUUCGAGAGAGGUGAGUGAAAUUCCGAGUGUAGAGGUGAAAUUCGUAGAUAUUCGGAGGAACACCAGUGGCGAAGGCGGCUCACUGGCUCGAUACUGACGCUGAGGUGCGAAAGUGUGGGGAGCAAACAGG